UACGUAGGCAGCGAGCGUUGUUCGGAAUUACUGGGCGUAAAGAGUGUGUAGGCGGUGCUCUAAGUUCGGUGUGAAAUCUCCCGGCUUAACUGGGAGGGUGCGCCGGAAACUGGAGUGCUCGAACGUGGGAGAGGAAAGCGGAAUUCCCGGUGUAGCGGUGAAAUGCGCAGAUAUCAGGAAGAACACCCGUGGCUAAGGCGGCUCUCUAGUACGGUAC
rnacentral:rRNA from 1 species